GGAUUUUCAGAAUUAGACUAUACUUAUUGAGCUGGAGCUCGUGUCGACAACGUGUAAAUGGAUUCCCUGAGCGUAGCCAUAUUUCUCUAUGGGCGUUUCUACUUUAAUUUGUUGUUCCCCUAUGGCUCUAUGAACGCGACCAUUCAAGAGGCCCUCGGAGAGGAAUAUAUGUUGAGGAGCGAAGAAGAAUAUCCCGAGAUGCGUCACAUCCUUUUCCUGCUUUUAUUGGCGUUCAAUGUGUGUAUGGAGCUGUAGCAACAAUCCAUCCACAAUCCGUAAUGUUAAAAGCAGCAGCAUGAUGUUUCUUAUGAUUUUUUUAUUUAAAAAGGUAUCCUUAAGCUAAUCUGAACAUAUUGGAAACAACUUAAGAUCCUUAGAAGCAUCCACACAAUGCGUCACAGCUUUUUAUUGAUACUGCUACCAGUUGAAUCCGUAUGGCUACACAAACUUGACCAUUCAGGAGGCUCUCGGGGAUGAAUAUGUGAUGUGGAGGGGCGUCUUCAAACAAUUAUUCAAUUAUUAUGAAAUACACGACACUCUUCUGUGUGUAAUGGCAAUUAAUAAUUAAGCCACUAGCUAUCAAUACAAUACAAUACCAAAUGUUAAAGCCCUCCAUCAAGAGCCGUUGAUG